ensembl:misc_RNA Metazoa_SRP Metazoan signal recognition particle RNA
GCUGGGCGUGGUGGUGUGCGCCUGUAAUCCCAGCCUCUUGGGGAGGCUGAGGCAGGAGAAUCGCUUGAACUCAGGAGGUGGAGGUUGCAGUGAGCUGAGGUCACACCACUGUACUCCAGCCUGGGUGACAGAGUGAGACUCUGUCUCAA